AAACUAUAUUAUAUUAUAUUAUUUAAUCGGGACAGUGCAUAUUAAUAAACAUUACUGUAAAUGCACCACAGUUAGCCAAAUGCCAUAUUCAUCUGUAGUCCAUGGACAUGUUACACCCUUAAACAUAAUUCAAAAUAUAAAAUAAUAAAAAAUAAAUAACAUUUUUAUAAACAUGGAAAAAAUGGCAUUGUUCUUGUUCAUUAAAUAUAAAAAACGAAAAAAUAAUAAAAAUAAUUAACUGCUAUAUCAUAUCAACAUUUGCCACACACAUGUUUAAAAAUAUGAAUAUUUCUUUUUAGCAUGAGAAUGUUUAUUGUGCAUGUCUGUUUGCUUGUGUGCCAUAUGUUUGUUGCACUCGCACCACUAGAGGGCGCUCUCACACUAGUUAAAUGCCAGGUGUGGUUAAUCAGACAUUAGUUACAGGCGCAAUCAGUGAAAGCUGGCCAGGAGAAAAGGUCUUUAGGAAUCGGAUGCGGUGAGGAAGAGGAGGAUGAAGAGGAUCGCAGAACGAUCAUCUGGUUCUUUGGACACAUUGGUUGAAUGGCAUCUGAUUACAUCUCAUCCACUCCUCUCUCUGAUGGCGAGCCGUAAUCACACUCCUCCAAAUGGGCGCCAUAGUUAUGUUGCCAUGCUGUUCUGAAGUGGACACACCACAGACACAGAGCCUGUCACUGGAAAAACACUCCCCAUUCUCCACUAACCUCACCGCCAACAAACUCCGGAGCCUCUGCCCAUAAUGCCAGAUGGUUGCCUGGUAUAUGUGCUGAUGUAGGAGCCAGUGAUAUCACUGAUCAUGAGGGGUUUUCAUCAGGUGUGGACUCAUGGGAUUGACAGGCCUGCGGGAACAAAUUGGAUUUUUAACCCCAAUUGUCCUCUAGUCUGUAGCUGAUGAGGCAUGUUGCAGGUGUGGAUGUGCGAAUGUGUGUUUGGAUGAGGCAUAAUUACCUGCAUGAUGGACGUUUGCCCCAUUAACUGACUUUUAAGUGUUUUGGACCAGCUAUCCCAUGGUGCAAAAUGUGUCCCAAAAAUCGGAGCUUGCGGACACACUUAUGUAAAUUAGGGCUGUCAAAUUUAAUGCCUGCAAUUAAUUGUCACAGUAUUCGCUUAGAUAUUAUAAUGGUUUUAUUCUGCUAUCUUCAACCAAAUGUGCAAAAUGAUGGAUGGCAAGAGCAUUUCAUUUAUAAAUUUUUUUUUUUGGCUGUUUACAGAGUUUUGGACCAUUCCAGAGACAGGCCUGAGUUCCUAUGACACAUAUUUCAGUGAUAUCUGUCAGGUAUUAGGGGUGUUUUAUGUGGGCAUUCCAAAAUUUAAAAAAAAAUAUUUAUUGCUUCCAGCAACUUUAACUAUCAUCUAGCUCAACUAGUUCGAAAUAUUACCCAUGAGCGAAAGUCAUAAAAAAUUGAAUAAAAACGAGAAGAAAAAUGGAAGAUGAGGAUAUCUUUUUAAUAAAUUUGUUU